GGACGAACGCUGGCGGCGUGCUUAAAACAUGCAAGUCGAACGGACUUCUCAUGAAGCUUGCGAUUGAGAAGUUAGUGGCGGACGGGUGAGUAACGCGUGGGCAACCUGCCCCUGAGCCCGGGAUAACAGUUCGAAAGGACUGCUAAGACCGGAUAUACUUGCGGUGAAGCAUUUCACUGCAAGGAAAGGGAACGCUCAGGGAUGGGCCCGCGUCCCAUUAGCUAGUUGGUGAGGUAACGGCCCACCAAGGCGACGAUGGGUAGCCGGCCUGAGAGGGUGAACGGCCACACUGGGACUGAGACACGGCCCAGACUCCUACGGGAGGCAGCAGUAGGAAAUAUUGCGCAAUGGGCGGAAGCCUGACGCAGCGACGCCGCGUGAGCGAAGAAGGCCUUCGGGUCGUAAAGCUCUGUCCUUGGGGAAGAAGGCGAAAGCUUGACGGUACCCAAGAAGAAAGCCCUGGCUAACUACGUG
rnacentral:rRNA from 1 species